rnacentral:tRNA from 1 species
GGAGAGGUGCCCGGAGUGGCUUAUCGGGGACCGAUGAGCACGCCUCACGGUCGGGCCUCACGGCCCACGCAGGUUCAAAUCCUGCCCUCUCCG